CAGGGUUCACUGUGCCCUCAACUUACUGCAAGUACAAAAUUAUAUUACAUUAUUGUUUUAAUUUUUUGAUGCCCUUGGAAGAGCCGAACCUGCUCCUGAGGGGGUACAUGUGCUGCACCUGUGGCUUGACCUUGAAGGGCUUCCUGGUGGGCACCGUGGUCACCCUCCUGGUGACCACGGCAAACAGGAGGGUGACCACGGCAAACCUGUAGUAACUGCUUGGCAGGGCCAAGCAGGAAGGGAGGGGGAGAGAGGGGCUCGGCAGAGCCAAGCAGAGCAGCAGGGAGAGGGGUGCAGAGGGCAACUGAGACGAGGAAGAGGGAGGGCAGCCGAGAGAGGUAGAAGAAGGCCGACAACCUGAUUGGAUAUCACUUCUAUUGCUGACUUA